GUGAGGAAUAUUGCGCAAUGGGCGAAAGCCUGACGCAGCGACGCCGCGUGGACGAUGAAGGCCUUCGGGUUGUAAAGUCCUGUCAGGAGGGACGAAGCGGACUUGUCCGUGACGGUACCUCGGUAGGAAGCUCCGGCUAACUACGUGCCAGCAGCCGCGGUAAGACGUAGGGGGCUAGCGUUGUCCGGAAUCACUGGGCGUAAAGAGCUCGUAGGCGGUCUGUUUAGUCGGGUGUGAAAGCCCUCGGCUCAACCGAGGAAUUGCAUUCGAUACUGGCAGGCUAGAGUCUAGCAGAGGGAAGUGGAAUUCCCGGUGUAGCGGUGAAAUGCGCAGAUAUCGGGAAGAACACCGGUGGCGAAGGCGGCUUCCUGGGCUAUGACUGACGCUGAGGAGCGAAAGCUAGGGGAGCGAACAGGAUUAGAUACCCGGGUAGUCC
rnacentral:rRNA from 1 species